AUGCACACGGAGAUUUCAGUGAACAAUAAUAAGAAAAUAUGGAAACUGAAGAUACCAUUAAAAAAUAAAAAAAUUAUGUGGUAUCUUCAAAGGGUAGUUGUGCUAACUAAAGACAACCUCACUCGUCGCAACUGACAUGGAAGCAAGAAAUGUUGGUUUUGUACUCACGACGAGACAAUCAAGCAUCUCUUUUUUCAGUGCAAAUUUGCACAUUCUACAUGGUCAGUCAUCCAAACAGCGUCCAAUUUGUAUCCGCCGACAAGUGUUGCCAAUAUAUAUGGUCACUGA
rnacentral:rRNA from 1 species